GAUCUAUACCAAUUAACAUAUCUAGAUUUAUGUGUUGUAAGUCCCGGAGAACUUUGUCUUUUUGUUCUUCAAUGAACUUAAUAAAUUUCUAGAAUCUCUGUACUGUCAUAAUCUUUUCACUGUUCUGAACACAACAAGUCCAACAUCCUUCUAAUAGCUAUUACUUUAUAGGAGUUUGAUUUAACUCAUUAUAUUCAUUCAUUAUCCACUGAAAUUUGCUUGCUUACUCUUUCUAUG
rnacentral:misc_RNA from 1 species